GAUUCAACAGACUAAGAUUUUUAUCUUUAUCUUAGGUGAAAAAUUCAUUAGACUAAGAUUUUCAUCUUAGGAGAAAGAUUCAACAGAUUAAGAUUUUUAUCUUUAUCUUAGGUGAAAAAUUCAUCAGACUAAGAUUUUCAUCUUAGGAGAAAGAUUCAACAGACUAAGAUUGUGACUCUAGGAGAUAAUUCAUCAGACUAGGUCCAUUUUUGUGUGAUCUCAGGAGGAAGAUUUAUCAGACUGAGAUUUUGACUCUCGGAGAUAAUUCAUCAGACUAGGUCCAUUUUUGAGUGAUCCCGACUUUCUUAAUUUUCCAAAUUCCAACUUCCUUUCUUUUCAAAUUCUGUCUUCCUUUCUUGUUCCCAAAU
rnacentral:lncRNA from 1 species